rnacentral:misc_RNA from 1 species
AAUCUUGUAACCACAUAAGCUAUUUGUGGCAUUGGGGACCUUGUGAGCCAAAUGAUGAAACGUGUAUAGCAGGCACUCAACAUAAGUAAAGUUCAUCUCCUCUCCUGUCUUUCUCCCAGGCAUAUAUUUCUUCAAUAGCUGAACAACAGAAGGGAGGAAUUGACGUGAAUCUUGAGGCGUAGUAUAUGGUGAAAAUUCUGCAAGGGCUUUAAGCAAAUCCAGCUUGCGUUCCUCAGGCAGCUUCUCAAAAACUGGAAUAACAUGUUUGUUCAAGUAGCUGAGAAACUUGCAACUUG